CCAGACUCCUACGGGAGGCAGCAGUGGGGGAUAUUGCUCAAUGGGGGAAACCCUGAAGCAGCAACGCCGCGUGGAGGAUGAAGGUUUUCGGAUUGUAAACCCCUGUUGUCAGUGAAGAUAAUGACGGUAUCUAACGAAUAAGCACCGGCUAACUCCGUGCCAGCAGCCGCGGUAAUACGUAGGGAGCAAGCGUUACCCGGAAUCACUGGGCGUAAAGAGCGCGUAGGCGGGUUAGCAAGUCAGAUGUGAAAUCCUAUGGCUUAACCCUAGAACUGCAUUUGAAACUGUUGUUCUAGAGUAUGGGAGAGGUAGGUGGAAUUCUUGGUGUAGGGGUAAAAUCCGUAGAGAUCAAGAGGAAUACUCAUUGCGAAGGCGGCCUACUAG
rnacentral:rRNA from 1 species